UAAAGGAAUUGGCGGGGGAGCACCACAAGGGGUGAAGCCUGCGGUUCAAUUGGAGUCAACGCCAGAAAUCUUACCCGGAGAGACAGCAGAAUGAAGGUCAAGCUGAAGACUUUACCAGACAAGCUGAGAGGUGGUGCAUGGCCGUCGCCAGCUCGUGCCGUGAGAUGUCCUGUUAAGUCAGGUAACGAGCGAGAUCCUCGCCACUAGUUGCUAUCAUUAUUCUCAGGAAUAGUGGGGCGAAUUAGUGGGACUGCCGUUGUUAAAACGGAGGAAGGAGGGGGCUACGGCAGGUCAGUAUGCCCCGAAACUCUGGGGCCACACGCGGGCUGCAAUGGUAGCGACAAUGAGCUCCAAACUCGAAAGAGAGUGGCAAUCUCUAAACGCUACCACAGUUAUGACUGAGGGCUGUAACUCGCCCUCACGAAUAUGGAAUCCCUAGUAACCGCGUGUCAUUACCGCGCGGUGAAUACGUCCCUGCUCCUUGCACGACACCGCCA
rnacentral:rRNA from 1 species